rnacentral:rRNA from 1 species
GGUUAAGCGACUAAGCGUACACGGUGGAUGCCCUGGCAGUCAGAGGCGAUGAAGGACGUGCUAAUCUGCGAUAAGCGUCGGUAAGGUGAUAUGAACCGUUAUAACCGGCGAUUUCCGAAUGGGGAAACCCAGUGUGUUUCGACACACUAUCAUUAACUGAAUCCAUAGGUUAAUGAGGCGAACCGGGGGAACUGAAACAUCUAAGUACCCCGAGGAAAAGAAAUCAACCGAGAUUCCCCCAGUAGCGGCGAGCGAACGGGGAGCAGCCCAGAGCCUNNNNNNNNNNNNNNNNNNNNNNNNNNNNNNNNNNNNNCGCGCGAUACAGGGUGACAGCCCCGUACACAAAAAUGCACAUAUUGUGAGCUCGAUGAGUAGGGCGGGACACGUGGUAUCCUGUCUGAAUAUGGGGGGACCAUCCUCCAAGGCUAAAUACUCCUGACUGACCGAUAGUGAACCAGUACCGUGAGGGAAAGGCGAAAAGAACCCCGGCGAGGGGAGUGAAAAAGAACCUGAAACCGUGUACGUACAAGCAGUGGGAGCACGCUUAGGCGUGUGACUGCGUACCUUUUGUAUAAUGGGUCAGCGACUUAUAUUCUGUAGCAAGGUUAACCGAAUAGGGGAGCCGAAGGGAAACCGAGUCUUAACUGGGCGUUAAGUUGCAGGGUAUAGACCCGAAACCCGGUGAUCUAGCCAUGGGCAGGUUGAAGGUUGGGUAACACUAACUGGAGGACCGAACCGACUAAUGUUGAAAAAUUAGCGGAUGACUUGUGGCUGGGGGUGAAAGGCCAAUCAAACCGGGAGAUAGCUGGUUCUCCCCGAAAGCUAUUUAGGUAGCGCCUCGUGAAUUCAUCUCCGGGGGUAGAGCACUGUUUCGGCAAGGGGGUCAUCCCGACUUACCAACCCGAUGCAAACUGCGAAUACCGGAGAAUGUUAUCACGGGAGACACACGGCGGGUGCUAACGUCCGUCGUGAAGAGGGAAACAACCCAGACCGCCAGCUAAGGUCCCAAAGUCAUGGUUAAGUGGGAAACGAUGUGGGAAGGCCCAGACAGCCAGGAUGUUGGCUUAGAAGCAGCCAUCAUUUAAAGAAAGCGUAAUAGCUCACUGGUCGAGUCGGCCUGCGCGGAAGAUGUAACGGGGCUAAACCAUGCACCGAAGCUGCGGCAGCGACACUAUGUGUUGUUGGGUAGGGGAGCGUUCUGUAAGCCUGUGAAGGUGUGCUGUGAGGCAUGCUGGAGGUAUCAGAAGUGCGAAUGCUGACAUAAGUAACGAUAAAGCGGGUGAAAAGCCCGCUCGCCGGAAGACCAAGGGUUCCUGUCCAACGUUAAUCGGGGCAGGGUGAGUCGACCCCUAAGGCGAGGCCGAAAGGCGUAGUCGAUGGGAAACAGGUUAAUAUUCCUGUACUUGGUGUUACUGCGAAGGGGGGACGGAGAAGGCUAUGUUGGCCGGGCGACGGUUGUCCCGGUUUAAGCGUGUAGGCUGAUUUUCCAGGCAAAUCCGGAAAAUCAAGGCUGAGGCGUGAUGACGAGGCACUACGGUGCUGAAGCAACAAAUGCCCUGCUUCCAGGAAAAGCCUCUAAGCAUCAGGUAACAUCAAAUCGUACCCCAAACCGACACAGGUGGUCAGGUAGAGAAUACCAAGGCGCUUGAGAGAACUCGGGUGAAGGAACUAGGCAAAAUGGUGCCGUAACUUCGGGAGAAGGCACGCUGAUAUGUAGGUGAAGUCCCUCGCGGAUGGAGCUGAAAUCAGUCGAAGAUACCAGCUGGCUGCAACUGUUUAUUAAAAACACAGCACUGUGCAAACACGAAAGUGGACGUAUACGGUGUGACGCCUGCCCGGUGCCGGAAGGUUAAUUGAUGGGGUUAGCCGCAAGGCGAAGCUCUUGAUCGAAGCCCCGGUAAACGGCGGCCGUAACUAUAACGGUCCUAAGGUAGCGAAAUUCCUUGUCGGGUAAGUUCCGACCUGCACGAAUGGCGUAAUGAUGGCCAGGCUGUCUCCACCCGAGACUCAGUGAAAUUGAACUCGCUGUGAAGAUGCAGUGUACCCGCGGCAAGACGGAAAGACCCCGUGAACCUUUACUAUAGCUUGACACUGAACAUUGAGCCUUGAUGUGUAGGAUAGGUGGGAGGCUUUGAAGUGUGGACGCCAGUCUGCAUGGAGCCGACCUUGAAAUACCACCCUUUAAUGUUUGAUGUUCUAACGUUGACCCGUAAUCCGGGUUGCGGACAGUGUCUGGUGGGUAGUUUGACUGGGGCGGUCUCCUCCUAAAGAGUAACGGAGGAGCACGAAGGUUGGCUAAUCCUGGUCGGACAUCAGGAGGUUAGUGCAAUGGCAUAAGCCAGCUUGACUGCGAGCGUGACGGCGCGAGCAGGUGCGAAAGCAGGUCAUAGUGAUCCGGUGGUUCUGAAUGGAAGGGCCAUCGCUCAACGGAUAAAAGGUACUCCGGGGAUAACAGGCUGAUACCGCCCAAGAGUUCAUAUCGACGGCGGUGUUUGGCACCUCGAUGUCGGCUCAUCACAUCCUGGGGCUGAAGUAGGUCCCAAGGGUAUGGCUGUUCGCCAUUUAAAGUGGUACGCGAGCUGGGUUUAGAACGUCGUGAGACAGUUCGGUCCCUAUCUGCCGUGGGCGCUGGAGAACUGAGGGGGGCUGCUCCUAGUACGAGAGGACCGGAGUGGACGCAUCACUGGUGUUCGGGUUGUCAUGCCAAUGGCACUGCCCGGUAGCUAAAUGCGGAAGAGAUAAGUGCUGAAAGCAUCUAAGCACGAAACUUGCCCCGAGAUGAGUUCUCCCUGACUCCUUGAGAGUCCUGAAGGAACGUUGAAGACGACGACGUUGAUAGGCCGGGUGUGUAAGCGCAGCGAUGCGUUGAGCUAACCGGUACUAAUGAACCGUGAGGCUUAACCUU